AUUGAACGCUGGCGGCAGGCCUAACACAUGCAAGUCGAACGAGUGGCGGACGGGUGAGUAAGGUCUGGGAAACUGCCCGAUGGAGGGGGGUAACUACAGGAAACGGUAGAUAAAACCGCAUACCAUCGGAUGUGCCCAGAGGGGAUUAGCUAGUAGGUGGGGUAACGGCUCACCUAGGCGACGAUCCCUAGCUGGUCUGAGAGGAUGACCAGCCCACCUGGAACUGAGACACGGUCCAGACUCCUACGGGAGGCAGCAGUGGGGAAUAUUGCACAAUGGGCGCAAGCCUGAUGCAGCCAUGCCGCGUGUAUGAAGAAGGCCUUCGGGUUGUAAAGUACUUUCAGCGAGGAGGCGUUACUCGCAGAAGAAGCACCGGCUAACUCCGUGCCAGCAGCCGCGGUAAUUC
rnacentral:rRNA from 1 species